rnacentral:rRNA from 1 species
GACGAACGCUGGCGGCGCGCCUAACACAUGCAAGUCGAGCGGGAAGCUUUUUAAGGAUUCUUCGGAUGAAUUAAAAAGUGGAGAGCGGCGGACGGGUGAGUAACGCGUGAGAAACCUGCCCUAUACAGGGGGAUAGCCAUUGGAAACGAUGAUUAAUACCCCAUAUGACCACAGUAUCGCAUGAUACAGCGGUGAAAACUCCGGUGGUAUAGGAUGGUCUCGCGUCUGAUUAGCUAGUUGGUGGGGUAACGGCCUACCAAGGCGACGAUCAGUAGCCGGCCUGAGAGGGUGACCGGCCACACUGGGAACUGAGACACGGUCCAGACUCCUACGGGAGGCAGCAGUGGGGAAUAUUGCACAAUGGGCGAAAGCCUGAUGCAGCGACGCCGCGUGAACGAUGAAGGCUUUCGAGUCGUAAAGUUCUGUUCUUGGGGAAGAUAACGACGGUACCCAAGGAGAAAGCACCGGCUAAAUACGUGCCAGCAGCCGCGGUAAU